rnacentral:rRNA from 1 species
CUACGGGGCGCUGCAGCUGAGGAUAUUCUGCAAUACACGAAAGUGUGACAGAGCGAGCCAGAGUGCUUUUCCGUAUUGGAAAAGCUUUUCUCAAAUGUAAAAAGUUCGAGGAAUAAGGACCGGGCAAGACUGGUGCCAGCCGCCGCGGUAAUACCAGCGGUCCAAGUCGUAAUCACGUUUAUUGGGUCUAAAACAUCCGUAGCUUGUUUCGUAAGUCCCUCGUGAAAUCCGGCCUCUUAAGGGUCGAACUGCGAGAGAUACUGCGAGGCUAGAGACCGGGAGAGGCAAGGAGUACGUUCAGGGUACCGGUAAAAUGGGCUGAUCCUGAACGGACUAACAAUAGCGAAGGCACCUUGCUAGAACGGAUCUGACAGUCAGGGAUGAAGGCUAGGGGCGCAAAACGGAUUAGAUACCCGUGUAGUC